rnacentral:rRNA from 1 species
ACGGAAGGCAGCAGUGGGGAAUAUUGGGCAAUGGGGGCAAGCUUGACCCAGCAACGCCGCGUGAAGGAUGAAGGUCUUCGGAUUGUAAACUUCUUUGAUUGGGGAAGAAUAAAUGACCUACCCAAAGAACAAGCCACGGCUAACUACGUGCCAGCAGCCGCGGUAAUACGUAGGUGGCAAGCGUUAUCCGGAUUUAACGGGUGUAAAGGGCGUGUAGGCGGCUCUGCAAGUCAGAAGUGAAAUUCCCGGGCUCAACUCGGGCGCUGCAUCCGAAACUGCAGAACUUGAGUACUGGAGGGGAAAGCGGAAUUCCUAGUGUAGCGGUAAAAUGCGCAGAUAUUAGGAGGAACACCGGUGGCGAAGGCGGCUUUCUGGACGGUAACUGACGCUGAGGCGCGAAAGCGUGGGGAGCAAACAGGAUUAGAUACCCUGGUA